AGCUGGGCAGGAGCUCUGUGCAGUUCGUAGGCUAUAAUGUUAUGGCUGAAGUGAAAUGAGUAGCCUACUGCUCGCGUCAAUGAAAAUAUUACGUUUGUAACGUCAGUAGGUCUAAUAUACUCGUGUAACUACUAUCCUGCUGAUUAAGUCAUCUGAUUAUCGAGAUUUUUACGUUCUUUCCAUGUAGUAAUGUAUGAUCUUACAACGGGACGUCCCGUUAGCUGGGCAGGAGCUCUGUGCAGUUUGUAGCCUAUGGCUGAAGUGAAACGAGGUCAACGAAAAUAUUACUAGGCCAAUUUGUGUCAAUUCAAAAACACUUAUUUAUCCCCAAGGGGCAAUUUACAUAGUAGGCUACAAUGGAGUGGAGUACAAUAAUCAAAAAUCCUAUAAAUAUCAUUGUUUAAAAUACAGUAGGUACAGUCAGUGUAAUGUAAUCUUGUAACUAUCCUGCUGACAUCUGAUUGAGAUUAUUACCUUCUUUCCAUGUAGUAGCCUAAUAUGUGAUCUUACAACUCUGGUAACUAAAACUGGAGACAUUUGCUACUUUGUGCUACCUGCUCAUUCAAAAUUACGAAAUAACAGCAGGGAAAUUAUGUUUGUUUUUACAGGUUAUUAAAAGAAUGACCCAGGUUCCUGAGGAGCUGACCUGAAUGACCAUUAUGGCCUCAAUCCGUUGUGCCUCUAUAUUCUUUGCAAAAUGCAAUGAAUAUUUACAGAGCUGACCAUGGCCGUUUGAGAAUCAGAGGAAUGGAAAGGCAAUGAAGUGACUUGGCCUACAGGUCUUUUGUGAGCAGGAGCUGGGGUUUCCUUAGAAGAAGCGUCCGUGUCAUGAUCCCCUUGUGUGUGGUGCUACGCAUAUGGAGGGAGCUUCCGGAUACUUCAGGGCAGUACGUUGGAUUCAGACCCCUUUUCGACUGAACCGUGACACAUGUUCAGCAACAGCAUCCUCCAUGGAAGGUCUGUCAAGCUGAGCACACAAGUCCUGGGGCACAGGAAUCCGCUGGACGGCAUCCCAAUAAGGAAGAGGGUCUUUGAUGAUCUCGAAGAGGACAAGAAAGAGGACUUAUAUUGGAUACUGUAAUACAGUGCAUUGUAGGCUGUAUACUGUACAAUAAACAAAUUGUAUGGCCCUGAA